rnacentral:rRNA from 1 species
AUUGAACGCUGGCGGCAGGCUUAACACAUGCAAGUCGAGCGGGGGGAGGUAGCUUGCUACCUAACCUAGCGGCGGACGGGUGAGUAAUGCUUAGGAAUCUGCCUAUUAGUGGGGGACAACAUUUCGAAAGGGAUGCUAAUACCGCAUACGCCCUAAGGGGGAAAGCAGGGGAUCUUCGGACCUUGCGCUAAUAGAUGAGCCUAAGUCGGAUUAGCUAGUGGGUGGGGUAAAGGCCUACCAAGGCGACGAUCUGUAGCGGGUCUGAGAGGAUGAUCCGCCACACUGGGACCGAGACACGGCCCAGACUCCUACGGGAGGCAGCAGUGGGGAAUAUUGGACAAUGGGGGGAACCCUGAUCCAGCCAUGCCGCGUGUGUGAAGAAGGCCUUUUGGUUGUAAAGCACUUUAAGCGAGGAGGAGGCUACCGAGAUUAAUACUCUUGGAUAGUGGACGUUACUCGCAGAAUAAGCACCGGCUAACUCUGUGCCAGCCGCCGCAGUAAGAC